rnacentral:lncRNA from 1 species
CGCGGGAAUUUUAGGAAAUCCUCUCUUAGUGCAUCCCUAGACCACAUAAAGAAGCUACACGCCAAAUUUCAAGUCACUAAACCCAGCGAUUUCGGUUUUACGUUUAUAGUAUCCACGAACAAUGGGUAUUAAGAGUUCAAAAACCGAUGAUAGCAGUAACGCUGUCGCAGUAGGUGCUAUAGUCGUGGCUGCGGGCUUGUAUUGGUGGGCAAAUCGAAUCAAAAAACGCAAAAAUCGACGUAGGCAUGAAAGUUACGAAGAUUUUGACUACAGUGUAGAAUAUGACUAUGAUAUUGAUUUUUAUUGUGAAAACUGCGAGUGUACACGAUGUAGCUAUAUACGCUAUAACUACAUGUAAAGAAGUUAGUAGGUACCUAUAUUAUAUGAUACCUAAUUAUUCAUUUUAA